rnacentral:lncRNA from 1 species
CACAAAAGAACUGUAUAUAGGCAGCCUCGUUUCAUUAUUGUUCUAUACAUAGAAAUUGGAUGUGGACAGCAAGGACGCGAGGAUUGCAUAUUAUUUUGAUUUCAUUGUUGGGACAAGCACUAGAGGCCUUAUGACAUCCAUGCUUACUGCUCCAAAUGAUGAAAAACGACCUUCGUUUGUCGCAAAAGAUAUUGUAAGUUUUAUCAAGACCACAAUCCAGGCACCAAGUAAUUUAUGGUAUUUUUGAGCUACGGUUUUUUUUUAUGUUGCUUUUUUAUGGUAUUUUUGAGCUACGGUUUGCAACUGUACAAAUGUAGUAUUCUAUGGUGAUUCAUCCUUUAGGGUGUGGGGUUUAUUCUUUGUUAAAGAAGAGGAAAACACUUUCCUUUUGGAAAAAGGGUUGUGUUUUCCAUGUUUGAAACCACUUUCUAGAAAAGUGGUUUCUCGUAGUUUAUCAAACAUAGUAAAGUUGUUUCGGAGAGUGGUUUUCAUGAAACAAAUAAGGCCAGUUUAGUUUUUUAAUGCUCCCUUCUUUGCUUUCUUAACUUUCUCCUUGUUGUGGCAAAUGCAGCUGGAAAUAUGAUAAAGCUAAAGGACAUGCUAGUGGAAGUGGAAGAGAAGAAAUGCAUUUUGAUUUGUUAGUGUUUUAAGCAAGUUAAAGAUUCAAACAAGAGACUUAACUUUAUUUUUAUGUGUUGUAACCCAAUUUUGGAUCCACCAAGAUUUUCUCAAAUGUUAUUUUAUUUCUAUUAUUAUUUAUAAAAAUCCAAAAAAAUUAAGAAAAAGGAAAAUUCAAAAAUAUAUUUUUCUCGAGUCAACCGCAUCUUUCCAUAAGAACCGAUUCCACCGGGUCAAUACAGGUCAAACCAUGUCGGCCAAGUAAAAAAUGAGUUUUCGGGUCAAAACCAUCAUUUUCGGUCAAAACCGAGUCCACUGAGUCAAUACAGGUCAAAACAUGUCGACCAGGGUAAAAAAUGAGUUUCAAACCAUUUCGGGUCAAAACCGUCAUUUUCGGUCAAAACCGAGUCCACCGAGUCAAUACGGGUCCAACCAUGUCGACCGGGGUAAAAAGUGAGUUUCAGGUCAUUUUGGGUCAAAACUAUUAUUUUUGGUCAUUAAAAUUAAUUUUUAGCGGUUAAAACGAGGUUUUUCUAACACUGAAUUGAGUUUUUAAUUUUACCUAUAUAAAUAUAUAUUAUUAUACAUAAUAAAAAAUAAAAUAAAAUUUUUUUGUCAAACAGGUAGUUGUGCCGAAAGCAAACGGUAAUUUAAAAAUAAGAUUUAUAGAAAUUUAAGAUUUGCAUGUUGCUUGGCUAUAAAUAGCCAGUGAUAGUUAGCCCGAGAGGAGGAGGACGGAAGAGGGAGAAGAAGAAAAGAAAAAAAGAGAAGAGAGAUUACAUACAUACUAUUUCAAGUUUUUUUUUACUAUUUUUUCACGAGAGUAGGAUAUUGAUUUUUUAAAAAAAACAAUAUGGAAAAUAUCAAAUAUAUCCUAACCGUUAGAUCUAAUAGUAUUUAGAUCUGAACUGUUGAUUUAAUAGGAUACAAUAGGGCUUACCACACUAGAUUAAAACCCAAACACAUCUCAGCCCUUGAAAUAAUCUAAGCUUUGAUCCCGUUGCGCCACAUCACCCGGUGUACCAAGAUUUCGGUACACAGCGUAACACCCGAUCAAACCUCCGUUCAUCCAGACCGUCCGAUCAACCUGCAGAUCGGGCCAAUAACAGCCGCACGAUCUUUCCAUCAGAGAACCAGCGGAUCACAGGCAUCAGCUGCACCGGUGUACCGUGCUAGCGUUCUCCCCGUAGCAUAACCCAGAGCAUCUCUCUCCUCUCGCCGGCGACUCCCUCUCUCUCCUCCGAUCUCCCAUCUCUGGCCAUAUCAAGCUUCCAAACCACCACAGAAAGGUAGCUAUCCUCAUAUAAAGAAAAACCCUGGCCGGAUUCAGCGUUGGCUCCGCCUCAUUUGGCCGGAAAAGGGCCGCGAUCGUCGGCUCUCACCGAAGCUUCAAGUCGUCGAUUCUCGCUCAUCAGCCAUCAACGACCGUCAAGACCACCACCAUAAGAAUCCUCGACAUCAGAUCUACCAGGAUCGACCAUCGGUUGGCCAGAAAUCUCGCUGGAAAAUCUCCCCGCCGCCAACAGUAGCCGCGCGUGUGCCACACGCGCCGCCAGUGGCAUUUUCGUAAUUUUCAGAGAAAUUCGAGGGUAUUUCAGUAUUUUACCUAUACAGUGACACUCAAGUAAUUUUUUGGGUUUCUACUGGUAUUUUUGAUAUUUUUUUCAUAUAUAAAUGCUUGUAAAUUUUCUUGCAUAUUGUAAAAAAAUACAAAAACCAAAGUCGACACGUCUCUUUUUUUAAAAGGACCGAUGUCAAAAAUGUAAAUACCAAAUAUGGAUUAUGUCCAUUAUUUCUUUUGGUAACCCAGACGUAACUCUCCUUUUUAGGGUUAAAACGUCAUAUUUUAGACAAGUCUCCUAAUUUUUAGGGACUGAUAAUAUUUUUAACGCGUCUCCUAUUUUUAGGGACCGACGUUAACCAUUUUUUUAAAAAAAAAAUUACCAAUAAACCCAAAAUAUAAUGGAUUAUAUCCAUUAUUUCUUUUGGUAACUCGGACGUAACUCUCCUUUUUAGGGUUAAAACAUCAUAUUUUAGACGUGUCUCCUAAUUUUUAGGGACCGACGUUAACCAUUUUAAAAAAAUAAAUUGCAAAUAAGCCCAAAAUAUAAUAGCAUUUGAAUCAAAUAAAAAACACACAAGUAAGGGUAACCUUUCUUUUGAAAGGAUGUUUUAAGGGUGGUGUCUACCUUCACUUAAUCAUAACUAACCCCGUACCCGAAUCUCUGGGACCAGUGUCUAAUUUGGGAUUUCUAGUUCCCUCAAAUUACUAGAUGGCGACUUCAAUAAAAUCUUUAUUUCCCCCAAUCGAGAAAAAAACCCUUUUUGUUAAACAAACAAAAAAAGCGGGAGCCGUCGCCCGACGUCGUGUAUCGACAUCAUGUAUUCUUUCACCGGAUAUUUGUCCAUGUCUAAUUGGAUCUAUUAUUCUUGUAAUUCUCAUUUUCGAGUGUUUUUUAGAGGAAGUUUAACUUUUUUCUUUUUACCUCCAGGUGAAAGCUAAUGAUAUCAAAUACAAGGUUUUCUAGUUUUCUGCACAUCAGUUUUGGAACAUCCGAUACGUAGUCUAAGCGUAAUCAAAUGACUUUAAUCAAGCAUUGCAGCAUAUGCUUGACGCUUAAGAUUAGAGAAUUCAGAAGUGGAGAUGAAUUGUUAUGUGGAAUCUCGAGACUGCCUUGAUUCAUUAAUUUGCUCAGUACCGGGUGGUCAUCCAUUUCAAGUUGGGGGUGCCAUAAGGGCAAGGGUCAGCCCUGAAGGGAUUCGUUCUCGACAUUACCAUCCAAAGCUAGCAUUUUCAUCAGUUCCAAUAACAUGAUAUUUUGUUGACAAUCUUAAGAAUUGAGUUAUAUACAUUUAAAUGCAGUGUACUCCAUACUGUACUUGUUAUGAUCCUUGUUAAAUUUUUAGGGAAUGGAAGUUCUGGUGAACCAGAGCAUUAGGGAGACUUCAUUACAAUCCUUAGCAUUGAUUGUGGAGAAGUGAGAAAUAUCAUUUCUAGUGAAGUCCCAAGUGUUCUUGAGUCAAAGCUCCAGGUUAAUUUGUUCUCUCAACAUGCUUGCUUAUAUUUUCCUUUAUUAAUCUUGUACACAAAAGAAAUGUAUAUAGGCAGCCUCGUUUCAUUAUUGUUCUAUACAUAGAAAUUGGAUGUGGACAGCAAGGACGCGAGGAUUGCAUAUUAUUUUGAUUUCAUUGUUGGGACAAGCACUAGAGGCCUAUGACAUCCAUGCUUACUGCUCCAAAUGAUGAAAAACGACCUUCGUUUGCCGCAAAAGAUAUUGUAAGUUUUAUCAAGACCACAAUCCAGGCACCAAGUAAUUUAUGGUAUUUUUGAGCUACGGUUUUUUUUUAUGUUGCUUUUUUAUGGUAUUUUUGAGCUACGGUU